GUCAUUAGGAGGAAGCUGUGGCUGCAACUCUGGGAGCUCCAAAGCCAGCAGAGGCCACCCCACUCCACCCCAACAGGACCUGCAGGCUUAGUGGAGGAAUUCAGCCACGGGCCAGCAGCGAGGGAGCAGAGAGAAGACCUACCAUGAAUGGACUCUCCCCUGUCGUCGUCCCUGCCUGUCGUCCCCUGCCAGUGCCUCCCAGGGGCUGAGCCCAGUUGGAAGCCAGAGGGCAAGGGGAGCACUGGACAUGUCAUCCUUAGAGGUGAAGGCGCAGACAAAACAGAGGCAUGUACCACACAUCUAGAGCGCCCACCGAGACAGCGCACCCUGCAGGCCAGGGGCCACCGCACUGGAGCUUCCAGCAGCUCAGCCCUCAGCUCCCAUCCAGGAAACAGCACUGAGGCCAUCUCUUAGCUGGUGGGCCACAGCUCUGUUAUCAGGAAGCGUGACUUUGGAGGUGAAGGGACUAGUCCGUGGAAGGGACCCCCAUGCCUCCCUUCUUCACCACAAGCCAGCAAGAUCAGGAAGCAGAGCAAUGAAAAUCGCUCUCCUACUAACAAAUGGAGGAUGCGUUCCCCAAGUCUUCGGAGAGAAGAACGCAGCAAGAGCUGCUCCUCUACAGCAGCCAUGGGAAAGAUGUACAAAACUGCAGCCUGGUCCCUGACGAUGAAAUGCCAAUAAAUUUAGUUUUAAAGGGGUCACUAAAAAUCCCCAGUGGUGUUUUUCUCAUCCCUUAAUAACAGCAUUGGACUUCCCUGGUGGCGCGGUGGUUAAGAAUCCGCCUGCCAAUGCAGGGGACACGGGUUCGAGACCUGGUCCGGGAAGAUCCCACAUGCCGCGGAGCAACUAAGCCCGUGUGCCACAACUACUGAAACCCGUGCGCCUAGAGUGCAUGCUCCACAACAAGAGAAGCCACCGCAAUGAAAAGCCCACACACCGCAAUGAAGAGUAGCCCCCGCUCGCCGCAACUAGAGAAAGCCCGUGCACAGCAAUGAAGACCCAA